UGUUACUAGAAUUUGACCUAAAUAUUUGGAGAGAAACUAGAAUAUAUCCAAUGGAAGCAGACUAAUAUAGAAACAUGAGUACUGUGGUAUUUGAGGUCCUCAAUCACCCAUUUUUUGACCUUUCGCCAACUUUCUAGGCUGUAAUCGUCCCAUCUGUGAAAUGAUGAGCAUGACCUCAUCAUUACCAUAGUUGCUGUGAUGUAAUUCAUCUUUAAAACUUAAUGUCUGUCUAAAUUGAAAGCAUCCACAUGUCAGUUUCUACUUAGAAAUUUGUGGUUCUUAUAUUCUUAUAGCUUGAAGGAUCAUAUUUUCUUGCCAUUUAUGUUUAAAAUGAUGUGUAAUCUGGAGACACAGUUUUUCCAGUAGUGAGCAAUAUAGGUAGAAAUCUGGGUACAGGCUGCAUAUAUUUUUACAUUGUUAAUGGUUGAAUUGAAGAGGUUUCAAAUUUCAAAAUCUCUUUACAUUAGAAAUACUCUUGGCAUAGGAGUAUGGCAUAUUACAUAUUGUGAACUAAAGGCAUAUGAAGAAAUUAUCUGUUUAACAAAGUAAUUUUACUGGAAGUAACUCAAAAUUAUGAAUAUUAUAAUUCCAAAUUUAUCUCAGCAGGUUAGCAUGAUUACAUAGUGACAUUUUGUUUUAUAAUGAUACAGGAGAUCAGGUAGGCUGUACUUACCGCUGUUUCAUAGCUAGUGAGAUAAAUUAUUUUCUGAAAAUCUCAGUUGGGCCAAUCUCUGAGCCAGAUAUGCUAACUUUUGCCUUUGGGGUUAUGUGAUUUACUGGGGUCAGAUUAGUCAGGUGUUUGUAUAGUAGUCAUUUUUACUAUAUGCUGUGUGGACAAAUUGAAAAGAAAGGACUCAAUUUUUUUCUUCCCUUAAAUCUAAUUGGAAAUGCAAUACAUGAACCUAAGACAGAACAUUUUACUCAGCAAUAUAUUAAUUAGUGGCAAUUUAAAUAUUUGAUGAUUGCUAGGUAGCAAAGAAUUCUCUAGAUCCUGAGGAAUUUAUGGAGAAAAGGUGUUUCAAAUUGGGUUUUUUGAGGAUGAGGAAUGUAUAGAGGCAAAGAUACCUAGGCAGAAGGUAUGCUUGCUUACAAGUGAUAGAGGCAGAAGAUAUGCUUGCUUACAAGUGAUAGAGGUAGGAGCUUUAGUAAACUCAUUCUUUUCUUCUUCAUUCUGAGAAUU